CCUACGGGAGGCAGCAGUGAGGAAUAUUGGUCAAUGGCCGGAAGGCUGAACCAGCCAUGCCGCGUGAAGGUCAGUGCCCUAUGGGCGUUAAACUUCUUUUGUGCGGGAGCAAUAAUGGGCACGUGUGGCCAGACGAGAGUACCGUACGAAUAAGCAUCGGCUAACUCCGUGCCAGCAGCCGCGGUAAUACGGGGGAUGCAAGCGUUAUCCGGAGUUUUUGGGUUUAAAGGGUGCGUAGGCUGUGAGGUAAGUCAGGGGUGAAAUACCCCCGCGCAACGGGGUGAAGUGCCAUUGAUACUGCCGUUCUGGAGUGCGCAUGCCGUGGGAGGAAUGCGUGGUGUAGCGGUGAAAUGCAUAGAUAUCACACAGAACACCGAUUGCGAAGGCAGCGUAC
rnacentral:rRNA from 1 species